rnacentral:rRNA from 1 species
CUACGGGGUGCUCCAGUGAGGAAUAUUGCACAAUGGGGGGAACCCUGAUGCAGCAACGCCGCGUGGAGGAUGACGCAUUUCGGUGUGUAAACUCCUUUUAUAUGUCAAGAAAAUGACGGUAGCAUAUGAAUAAGCACCGGCUAACUCCGUGCCAGCAGCCGCGGUAAUACGGAGGGUGCAAGCGUUACUCGGAAUCACUGGGCGUAAAGGACGCGUAGGCGGGUUGGAAAGUCAGGUGUGAAAUCCUACAGCUUAACUGUAGAACUGCACUUGAAACUACGAGCCUAGAGUAUGGGAGGGGGAGAUGGAAUUAGUGGUGUAGGGGUAAAAUCCGUAGAUAUCACUAGGAAUACCUAAAGCGAAGGCGAUCUCCUGGAACAUAACUGACGCUAAGGCGUGAAAGCGUGGGGAGCAAACAGGAUUAGAUACCCCCGUAGUC